rnacentral:rRNA from 1 species
GGGGAAUAUUGGACAAUGGGCGAAAGCCUGAUCCAGCAAUGCCGCGUGGGUGAAGAAGGUCUUCGGAUUGUAAAGCUCUUUUACCCGGGAUGAUAAUGACAGUACCGGGAGAAUAAGCCCCGGCUAACUCCGUGCCAGCAGCCGCGGUAAUACGGAGGGGGCUAGCGUUGUUCGGAAUUACUGGGCGUAAAGCGCACGUAGGCGGCUUUGUAAGUUAGAGGUGAAAGCCCAGGGCUUAACCCUGGAAUUGCCUUUAAGACUGCAUCGCUAGAAUCGUGGAGAGGUGAGUGGAAUUCCGAGUGUAGAGGUGAAAUUCGUAGAUAUUCGGAAGAACACCAGUGGCGAAGGCGACUCACUGGACACGUAUUGACGCUGAGGUGCGAAAGCGUGGGGAGCAAAC